UCCAGGGUAGUCUAGUGGACAUGGCAUCUGCCCGGUAAGCGGAAGGUCGUGGGUUCGAUUCCCGCCCCUGGAC